rnacentral:rRNA from 1 species
UACGAAGGGGGCUAGCGUUGCUCGGAAUCACUGGGCGUAAAGCGCACGUAGGCGGAUUGCUAAGUCAGGGGUGAAAUCCUGGAGCUCAACUCCAGAACUGCCUUUGAUACUGGCGAUCUUGAGUCCGGGAGAGGUGAGUGGAACUGCGAGUGUAGAGGUGAAAUUCGUAGAUAUUCGCAAGAACACCUGCGGCGAAGGCGGCCUUCUGGACGAUGACUGACGCUGAGACGCGAAAGCGUGGGGAGCAAACAGG